rnacentral:rRNA from 1 species
UGGGGAAUAUUUCACAAUGGGCGCAAGCCUGAUGCAGCCAUGCCGCGUGUGUGAAGAAGGCCUUCGGGUUGUAAAGCACUUUCAGCGGGGAGGAAGGCGUUAAGGUUAAUAACCUUGGCGAUUGACGUUACCCGCAGAAGAAGCACCGGCUAACUCCGUGCCAGCAGCCGCGGUAAUACGGAGGGUGCAAGCGUUAAUCGGAAUUACUGGGCGUAAAGCGCACGCAGGCGGUCUGUCAAGUCGGAUGUGAAAUCCCCGGGCUCAACCUGGGAACUGCAUUCGAAACUGGCAGGCUAGAGUCUUGUAGAGGGGGGUAGAAUUCCAGGUGUAGCGGUGAAAUGCGUAGAGAUCUGGAGGAAUACCGGUGGCGAAGGCGGCCCCCUGGACAAAGACUGACGCUCAGGUGCGAAAGCGUGGGGAGCAAACAGG